rnacentral:piRNA from 1 species
UGGCAAUGUUUGGUGCUGAACUACAACCAA